GAUGAACGCUGGCGGCGUGCCUAAUACAUGCAAGUCGAGCGAACGGACGAGAAGCUUGCUUCUCUGAUGUUAGCGGCGGACGGGUGAGUAACACGUGGAUAACCUACCUAUAAGACUGGGAUAACUUCGGGAAACCGUAGCUAAUACCGGAUAAUAUUUUGAACCGCAUGGUUCAAAAGUGAAAGACGGUCUUGCUGUCACUUAUAGAUGGAUCCGCGCUGCAUUAGCUAGUUGGUAAGGUAACGGCUUACCAAGGCAACGAUGCAUAGCCAACCUGAGAGGGUGAUCGGCCACACUGGAACUGAGACACGGUCCAGACUCCUACGGGAGGCAGCAGUAGGGAAUCUUCCGCAAUGGGCGAAAGUCUGACGGAGCAACGCCGCGUGAGUGAUGAAGGUCUUCGGAUCGUAAAACUCUGUUAUUAGGGAAGAACAUAUGUGUAAGUAACUGUGCACAUCUUGACGGUACCUAAUCAGAAAGCCACGGCUAACUACGUG
rnacentral:rRNA from 1 species